AAAUUGUUUUCCUGCCUUGAAGAUUAAGUUAUGAAGAGAAAUGUACCCAGUCCAAAAAAGAUCCUAAACCUAAGAGGUUUUUGAGGUCAAAAAGAUCUCAGGGAUUUUCCGGCCAAUAAAGGUGCAUUGGAGAGGAAGAAAUGGCUAUUUUUCAUUUAGAAGCAGGAAGCACUGAAGGGGGUUCUCAGAUGCCCACAGGGAACCAAUCUGGAGAGAGAUGAUUUCCUGGCUUAUUGAAAUUAAGACUCAAUCUUGUUGCUAAGCAAGGGUCCAAGAGUUCAGAGAAAGCAGCCAUCAUCUUCAUGGGCAGAAAUGGAAAGGGCAUAGGAGAAAGAGAACCAAGGACUCUGCUUCUCAACUUCUCUCUGAAUCGGAGUUUAUCUAUAAUAGCAAGAAAGUAGGUUCAGCAGUAAUAAAUCAAUGAUGCUAACAGUAACUGUAACCUCAGGGCAAUGCUCAAGAGCUACUUUAUAGCAUCUUUUCAUUCUGGAGCAGUCCUUUCCUGAUAGGUGAGCAUACCCGGCAAAACUGUAGGUUGUGGCAUCCCCAGUACCCAGAUUCAGCAGCUGCAUCCCUGCAGAGUGACGUGUGAUGAGUCAGACAAAUAGUUCAAGAGUAAGCACUACGGUAGGGGGGUUCAGAGAAGCAACUGCAUGGCUGGGUGUGGAUGGACUAGGAGUGUGUGGUGAAUCUGGAUCUCAGUUUGCACCUCUGCUAAGAAGGGAUGAAGACCACCUUGCUAGCAUGGUGUUUGUAAGGAUGAAAUGAACUAAUACAUGUGUUUUGUCUCCUAAUAGGACUGUAAUGCAGAGCUGAUGCUUUUUUAUUUUUGGAGUUGUUGGGGUGGGGGAAGGGGAUUCCUCUCUGUCUUGGGGGAAGAGAGAAACCUCAUCUUCAUGUGCUAGAUCAUGGCCUUUUCUUAACCUAGUUCAACACUGAGCCGUCACUUUUCUUGCAUAAAGUUCAAUAAUAGCAUGAGCAUGCUAGCUACAUGCAAAGCUUUUAGUCUUUUUUCUCAAUCCCCUGAACUCAACCUAGCUCAACGCUAAAAAACAUUAAGCGUUUUCUAAAACCAAAUAAAUGUGAAUGUGCUUCUAAAUAAAACCCUCUGCUGCAAAAAUCAGAAGGUUCCUCUUACUGGAUAAGGACAUGAAGGAAAGAAGAAUCCAUUUAGAGGAUGUUCUGCAGAAAUGGAUGAUAAAAAUGGUUUCUUUGGGAGCAGCAGUUUAGUUACAGUGAUUGGGUGGAAUUGGGGCUUGCAACUCUUAAGAGUUUCUCAGCCUUUAGCCAGGACUGAUUGGCUGAUUUCCAGAAAGAAGAUAAUUUGCCUAAGAGAUAAUUUCUCAUUGGUCAGUCAACUCCAAAUGACUGAAAAUCAUGUGUUCUUUCUUUUGUGUAUUUUUUCUUCUUUCUUUUUCAGAAAUAUCUAUCAAACUUUGGUUCAUUUUCCACUAUCCUUUGGACCCCUGCCAAUAAUGGCUGCUAUAGGAAGCCUAUUAAACAUAACUGCUAACGUUACUUUUUUUUUUUUUAA